AUUUCUAACAAUGCCCCAUGCUUUUAGAAUUUUAGAGAAUAGAAAACUAGGUAAUAUUAUAUACUGUGUUUUUCAAUGAAAUAUGUCUUUUGGUAUUGAAAAAUGUCCUUUGGGCUUGAAUAAUCAUCCAGCACAAGCAAGCUUCAACGCAUGUUCAUCUGAAAAGUAAAUGAAAUGUUAAACUUAGAACCUUGUGCAAAGUACCAGUGUUUUAAAGUCAGGUUUGUCUCGAUGACACAUUAUGGUCAUGCACUAAUAUUCUAGAUUUCAUAAAUAGACUAGAGAAAGCCUUAGUUCUCAUAUAUUGCUAUUCCAUAACCAUGCUAAUAUAAUUAUGCUCUCCAAGGGUGUUAGCAGCAUAAGCCCUAGCCUUUAAAACUUGAACAUAUUCAAAAUAAAUGCUUCUCAUCUAAUUGUUGUAAUUGGGCAUUUAUAUUCUAAAAAGGUAUAGAAGAAGGAUUUUUCUGUAUCAAUUUACUAUCCACAUUGAGUCUUAUCUCAUGGGAUCUCCACUCAAUUACGUUGGGCUACCAUGACGGAUGACUAACUAAUAGGUCUCAAUUCCAUCCUUUAACAUGAAUUAUGGACUAGGUUCCUUGCAAAUCUCUUGCUAGAUAGUUUAGCUAGGUUCUUAGCAAACUAAUAUAGUACUAUAUCUCUAUUUUGAUUUUCUCAUACAUAAACACAUGCGGGCAUAAUAUAUAUGGGUAAUUAAUUUCCCACCCUCCAAAAGACCGUGGUAUAACAAAAAGUCUCCAUUGACCAUAACUAAAAUCUUCGGUCCAACAACUUCACUAAGUUUAAUUUC
rnacentral:lncRNA from 1 species